rnacentral:rRNA from 1 species
AUUGAACGCUGGCGGCAGGCCUAACACAUGCAAGUCGAACGGUAACAGGAAGCAGCUUGCUGCUUCGCUGACGAGUGGCGGACGGGUGAGUAAUGUCUGGGAAACUGCCUGAUGGAGGGGGAUAACUACUGGAAACGGUAGCUAAUACCGCAUAACGUCGCAAGACCAAAGAGGGGGACCUUAGGGCCUCUUGCCAUCGGAUGUGCCCCGAUGGGAUUAGCUAGUAGGUGGGGUAACGGCUCACCUAGGCGACGAUCCCUAGCUGGUCUGAGAGGAUGACCAGCCACACUGGAACUGAGACACGGUCCAGACUCCUACGGGAGGCAGCAGUGGGGAAUAUUGCACAAUGGGCGCAAGCCUGAUGCAGCCAUGCCGCGUGUAUGAAGAAGGCCUUCGGGUUGUAAAGUACUUUCAGCGGGGAGGAAGGGAGUAAAGUUAAUACCUUUGCUCAUUGACGUUACCCGCAGAAGAAGCACCGGCUAACUCCGUG